GGUAUUUAGUACAUUCACAGUGUUGUGCAACCAUCACUACUAUAUAGUUCUAGAACAUUUUCAUUACCUCAAAAGGAGACUCCAUACUCAUUAUGUGGUCACCUUCCCCUCAGCCUCUGACAACCACUGAUCUGCUUCCUGUUUCUAUAGAUGUGCUUGGUAUUUUGAGGAAGACCAAGAAGCUAGCUUGGCUGGAGCAUUAUAUGUAGUAGGAGAGAAAGUCAAUGAAGUAACAGAGAGCUGAAUCCUUUGUCAGCCAUUGUUAAGGACUGUGUCUUUUACUCUGAAUGAAAUGGAGAACUAUUCCAGAGUUUUAAAUUGAGGGAUGAAAUGCUCCAUGGGAGAGUAGAGUGGGGGGAGUGUGUGUAACAAGGAUAGAAGGAAGAAGUGUGACUAAGAGAUUCUCAAGACAACUCCUAUCAUUUAAAAAGGAAGAUCAAUUUAUGAGCAGGAAAGUCAGAAAUAAGAAACAUGUCUGAGAGAUUCUCUUUCUGAAUCACUAAUAAUAAACCUAUGUUUUACAAAAUAAAAUACUUUUAAAAACUAUCCAGUAAAGGUUUUGUUCAUGUACUUCUUAUAGGUUAGUUUAUAAUUAUUUUCACAAAAACUAAGAAAAUUUGGGAAAUUUAAAAGUCAUGGAAAGAAUCAGAAUAAUCUUUCUUCCCAGCCCCUUGGAAAAACAGGAUAUUAUAUGCAAUGUUUAUUUUAAGGCCUUUACAAUGCUUUAUUUAGGUACAUAAAAAUGCAUUAUGUAUAACUUAACUAAUAAAAUUUUGUCUGGGAUAAUUAAAUUUUAAAAAUAUGUUAGAUUAAGAAAGCAAUUGCAAAUUUACUAAUUGAAUUUGCUACUUGAUGUUUUUAAUUUUUUUAAAUCACAACUAGGGUUAUAAAGUUGCUUAGGUGAAAGAAUUUAACUUUUAUUACAUGUUCCAGUAAUCAAGAAGCAAAUGAACACUAGACAACCAUCGAUACUAGUAUUACAAGUAAACAGAUUCUGUUUUCACUAGUUUUAUGACAUUAAAAAGUUUUAGAGAAGAGUUUUCUGAAAAGUAGCUACACAAUAAAGGGAGGGAACCCUUGCAUUCACUGGAUGUGGUCUUUUGAUGUGAAACUUGGUUGAAUUGUUUGCAGUUUUUGAGCUGGCACCUUCCCCAGUAUCUUCUGGUGUACUGUUUCAUGCCUGUCUUGUUUCUUUACUCACGUAAGUGCCAAACGAAUGUUUAUAAAGACUAACAGAUAGUUUCAUGGGUGCUUGAGAACUAAUGAUUUUCCUGCAUUGAGGCAUGCUACUCUACUGUUUCAUUUGAUGAUUGUUUUACAACCUAAUGUUUCCAAAUGAAGGUCAAUUUCUUUCCACCACUACAUAAGAUGAAGGAGGUGG